GACGAACCGUGCGAACGUUGUUCGGAAUCACUGGGCUUAAAGGGCGCGUAGGCGGGCUCACAAGUCAGGGGUGAAAUCCCACGGCUCAACCGUGGAACUGCUGGAUAUACUGCUUGUCUUGAGGCACUUAGGGGCAGCUGGAACAAAUGGUGGAGCGGUGAAAUGCGUAGAUAUCAUUUGGAACGCCAAAGGCGAAAGCAGGCUGCUGGGAGUGAUCUGACACUGAGACGCGAAAGCCAGGGGAGCAAACGGG
rnacentral:rRNA from 1 species